ensembl:snRNA U1 U1 spliceosomal RNA
AUACUUACCUGGCAGGGGAGAUACCAUGAUCACGAAGGUGGUUUUCCCAGGACGAGGCUUAUCCAUUGCACUCCGGAUGUGCUGACCCCUGCGAUUUCCCCAAAUGUGGGAAACUCGACUGCAUAAUUUGUGGUAAUGGGGGACUGCGUUCGCGCUUUCCCCUG